AAAGGGUGACGAAGCGACGCCGCGUGUGGGAAGAAGGCCUUCGGGUUGUAAACCACUGUCGGGAGUUAAGAAGUGUAAGGGUCUUAAGAGCAUCCUUGCUUGACGUUAGCUCCGGAGGAAGCCACGGCUAACUCUGUGCCAGCAGCCGCGGUAAUACAGAGGUGGCAAGCGUUGUUCGGAAUUAUUGGGCGUAAAGAGCACGUAGGCGGCCCUGCAAGUCAGCUGUGAAAUCCUUCUGCUCAACGGAAGAACGGCAGUUGAUACUACAGGGCUCGAGUGCGGGAGGGGAGAGUGGAACUUCUGGUGGAGCGGUGAAAUGCGUAGAUAUCAGAAGGAACAUCGGCGGCGAAAGCGACUCUCUGGCCCGUAACUGACGCUGAGGUGCGAAAGCUAGGGGAGCAAACGGGAUUAGAUACCCCGGNAGUCCNAGCCGUAAACGAUNGGCACUAAGUAGAGGGGUUU
rnacentral:rRNA from 1 species